GUAGGUGAACCUGCGGAGGGAUCAUUAUCGAACGGCCUCUCGGCCUUCAACCUCCAAACCAGUGGAAGCGAUCCGUGCUUCGGCGCUCCGGCGCCGUCUUUAUGCGAGAAUCCGUCCGUCGUCUGAAUCGGAAAUAAGAAUCAAAACUUUCAACAAAGGAUCUCUUGGCUCUCGCAUCGAUGAAGAACGCAGCAUCUGACUGACUGAACUGUAU
rnacentral:misc_RNA from 1 species